CUUGUGUGUGUGUGUCUUCUUGUGUGUGUUUGUGUGUCCGUCCCUAGGGGAAUUUUAUCUUCCCUUAGGCUUGUGUGUAUGCUUGUGUGUUUGUGUGUCCGUCCCUAGGAGAAUUUUAUCCUCCCUUAGGCUUGUGUGUGUG